rnacentral:rRNA from 1 species
UUAAGUUAUUAAGGGCGCACGGUGGAUGCCUUGGCACUAGAAGCCGAUGAAGGACGUUACUAACGACGAUAUGCUUUGGGGAGCUGUAAGUAAGCUUUGAUCCAGAGAUUUCCGAAUGGGGAAACCCAGCAUGAGUUAUGUCAUGUUAUCGAUAUGUGAAUACAUAGCAUAUCAGAAGGCACACCCGGAGAACUGAAACAUCUUAGUACCCGGAGGAAGAGAAAGAAAAUUCGAUUCCCUUAGUAGCGGCGAGCGAAACGGGAAGAGCCCAAACCAACAAGCUUGCUUGUUGGGGUUGUAGGACACUCUGUACGGAGUUACAAAGGACGACAUUAGACGAAUCAUCUGGAAAGAUGAAUCAAAGAAGGUAAUAAUCCUGUAGUCGAAAAUGUUGUCUCUCUUGAGUGGAUCCUGAGUACGACGGAGCACGUGAAAUUCCGUCGGAAUCUGGGAGGACCAUCUCCUAAGGCUAAAUACUCUCUAGUGACCGAUAGUGAACCAGUACCGUGAGGGAAAGGUGAAAAGCACCCCGGAAGGNGAGUGAAAUAGAACCUGAAACCGUGUGCUUACAAGUAGUCAGAGCCCGUUAAUGGGUGAUGGCGUGCCUUUUGUAGAAUGAACCGGCGAGUUACGAUUUGAUGCAAGGUUAAGCAGUAAAUGUGGAGCCGUAGCGAAAGCGAGUCUGAAUAGGGCGUUUAGUAUUUGGUCGUAGACCCGAAACCAGGUGAUCUACCCUUGGUCAGGUUGAAGUUCAGGUAACACUGAAUGGAGGACCGAACCGACUUACGUUGAAAAGUGAGCGGAUGAACUGAGGGUAGCGGAGAAAUUCCAAUCGAACCUGGAGAUAGCUGGUUCUCUCCGAAAUAGCUUUAGGGCUAGCCUCAAGUGAUGAUUAUUGGAGGUAGAGCACUGUUUGGACGAGGGGCCCCUCUCGGGUUACCGAAUUCAGACAAACUCCGAAUGCCAAUUAAUUUAACUUGGGAGUCAGAACAUGGGUGAUAAGGUCCGUGUUCGAAAGGGAAACAGCCCAGACCACCAGCUAAGGUCCCAAAAUAUAUGUUAAGUGGAAAAGGAUGUGGCGUUGCCCAGACAACUAGGAUGUUGGCUUAGAAGCAGCCAUCAUUUAAAGAGUGCGUAAUAGCUCACUAGUCGAGUGACACUGCGCCGAAAAUGUACCGGGGCUAAACAUAUUACCGAAGCUGUGGAUUGUCCUUUGGACAAUGGUAGGAGAGCGUUCUAAGGGCGUUGAAGCAUGAUCGUAAGGACAUGUGGAGCGCUUAGAAGUGAGAAUGCCGGUGUGAGUAGCGAAAGACGGGUGAGAAUCCCGUCCACCGAUUGACUAAGGUUUCCAGAGGAAGGCUCGUCCGCUCUGGGUUAGUCGGGUCCUAAGCUGAGGCCGACAGGCGUAGGCGAUGGAUAACAGGUUGAUAUUCCUGUACCACCUAUAAUCGUUUUAAUCGAUGGGGGGACGCAGUAGGAUAGGCGAAGCGUGCGAUUGGAUUGCACGUCUAAGCAGUAAGGCUGAGUAUUAGGCAAAUCCGGUACUCGUUAAGGCUGAGCUGUGAUGGGGAGAAGACAUUGNGUCUUCGAGUCGUUGAUUUCACACUGCCGAGAAAAGCCUCUAGAUAGAAAAUAGGUGCCCGUACCGCAAACCGACACAGGUAGUCAAGAUGAGAAUUCUAAGGUGAGCGAGCGAACUCUCGUUAAGGAACUCGGCAAAAUGACCCCGUAACUUCGGGAGAAGGGGUGCUCUUUAGGGUUAACGCCCAGAAGAGCCGCAGUGAAUAGGCCCAAGCGACUGUUUAUCAAAAACACAGGUCUCUGCUAAACCGUAAGGUGAUGUAUAGGGGCUGACGCCUGCCCGGUGCUGGAAGGUUAAGAGGAGUGGUUAGCUUCUGCGAAGCUACGAAUCGAAGCCCCAGUAAACGGCGGCCGUAACUAUAACGGUCCUAAGGUAGCGAAAUUCCUUGUCGGGUAAGUUCCGACCCGCACGAAAGGCGUAACGAUUUGGGCACUGUCUCAACGAGAGACUCGGUGAAAUCAUAGUACCUGUGAAGAUGCAGGUUACCCGCGACAGGACGGAAAGACCCCGUGGAGCUUUACUGUAGCCUGAUAUUGAAAUUCGGCACAGCUUGUACAGGAUAGGUAGGAGCCUUUGAAACGUGAGCGCUAGCUUACGUGGAGGCGCUGGUGGGAUACUACCCUAGCUGUGUUGGCUUUCUAACCCGCACCACUUAUCGUGGUGGGAGACAGUGUCAGGCGGGCAGUUUGACUGGGGCGGUCGCCUCCUAAAAGGUAACGGAGGCGCUCAAAGGUUCCCUCAGAAUGGUUGGAAAUCAUUCAUAGAGUGUAAAGGCAUAAGGGAGCUUGACUGCGAGACCUACAAGUCGAGCAGGGUCGAAAGACGGACUUAGUGAUCCGGUGGUUCCGCAUGGAAGGGCCAUCGCUCAACGGAUAAAAGCUACCCCGGGGAUAACAGGCUUAUCUCCCCCAAGAGUUCACAUCGACGGGGAGGUUUGGCACCUCGAUGUCGGCUCAUCGCAUCCUGGGGCUGUAGUCGGUCCCAAGGGUUGGGCUGUUCGCCCAUUAAAGCGGUACGCGAGCUGGGUUCAGAACGUCGUGAGACAGUUCGGUCCCUAUCCGUCGUGGGCGUAGGAAAUUUGAGAGGAGCUGUCCUUAGUACGAGAGGACCGGGAUGGACAUACCUCUGGUGUACCAGUUGUCGUGCCAACGGCAUAGCUGGGUAGCUAUGUGUGGACGGGAUAAGUGCUGAAAGCAUCUAAGCAUGAAGCCCCCCUCAAGAUGAGAUUUCCCAACUUCGGUUAUAAGAUCCCUCAAAGAUGAUGAGGUUAAUAGGUUCGAGGUGGAAGCAUGGUGACAUGUGGAGCUGACGAAUACUAAUCGAUCGAAGACUUAAUCAA